AGUAAAGGGUUUUUCGCGGUGCUUUGGAAUAUAUAUCACAUGACUCCCCCAUUUUGGGGGACUCUCGGAAUAUUUUUUUAGACAGAGUUUGAUCUGCUCAGAUUGAACGCUGGCGGCAGGCCUAACACAUGCAAGUCGAGCGGAUGACGGGAGCUUGCUCCUUGAUUCAGCGGCGGACGGGUGAGUAAUACCUAGGAAUCUGCCUGGUAGUGGGGGACAACGUUUCGAAAGGAACGCUAAUACCGCAUACGUCCUACGGGAGAAAGCAGGGGACCUUCGGGCCUUGCGCUAUCAGAUGAGCCUAGGUCGGAUUAGCUAGUUGGUGAGGUAAUGGCUCACCAAGGCGACGAUCCGUAACUGGUCUGAGAGGAUGAUCAGUCACACUGGAACUGAGACACGGUCCAGACUCCUACGGGAGGCAGCAGUGGGGAAUAUUGGACAAUGGGCGAAAGCCUGAUCCAGCCAUGCCGCGUGUGUGAAGAAGGUCUUCGGAUUGUAAAGCACUUUAAGUUGGGAGGAAGGGCAUUAACCUAAUACGUUAGUGUUUUGACGUUACCGACAGAAUAAGCACCGGCUAACUCUGUGCCAGCAGCCGCGGUAAUACAGAGGGUGCAAGCGUUAAUCGGAAUUACUGGGCGUAAAGCGCGCGUAGGUGGUUCGUUAAGUUGGAUGUGAAAUCCCCGGGCUCAACCUGGGAACUGCAUCCAAAACUGGCGAGCUAGAGUAGGGCAGAGGGUGGUGGAAUUUCCUGUGUAGCGGUGAAAUGCGUAGAUAUAGGAAGGAACACCAGUGGCGAAGGCGACCACCUGGGCUCAUACUGACACUGAGGUGCGAAAGCGUGGGGAGCAAACAGGAUUAGAUACCCUGGUAGUCCACGCCGUAAACGAUGUCAACUAGCCGUUGGAAUCCUUGAGAUUUUAGUGGCGCAGCUAACGCAUUAAGUGACCGCUUGGGGAUCGG
rnacentral:rRNA from 1 species